UGGCGGCGUGCCUAAUACAUGCAAGUAGAACGCUGAAGAGAGGAGCUUGCUCUUCUUGGAUGAGUUGCGAACGGGUGAGUAACGCGUAGGUAACCUGCCUGGUAGCGGGGGAUAACUAUUGGAAACGAUAGCUAAUACCGCAUAAAAUGGAUUAUCGCAUGAUAAUCCAUUGAAAGGUGCAAAUGCAUCACUACCAGAUGGACCUGCGUUGUAUUAGCUAGUUGGUGGGGUAACGGCUCACCAAGGCGACGAUACAUAGCCGACCUGAGAGGGUGAUCGGCCACACUGGGACUGAGACACGGCCCAGACUCCUACGGGAGGCAGCAGUAGGGAAUCUUCGGCAAUGGACGGAAGUCUGACCGAGCAACGCCGCGUGAGUGAAGAAGGUUUUCGGAUCGUAAAGCUCUGUUGUAAGAGAAGAACGAGUGUGAGAGUGGAAAGUUCACACUGUGACGGUAUCUUACCAGAAAGGGACGGCUAACUACGUGCCAGCAGCCGCGGUAAUACGUAGGUCCCGAGCGUUGUCCGGAUUUAUUGGGCGUAAAGCGAGCGCAGGCGGUUAGAUAAGUCUGAAGUUAAAGGCUGUGGCUUAACCAUAGUACGCUUUGGAAACUGUUUAACUUGAGUGCAAGAGGGGAGAGUGGAAUUCCAUGUGUAGCGGUGAAAUGCGUAGAUAUAUGGAGGAACACCGGUGGCGAAAGCGGCUCUCUGGCUUGUAACUGACGCUGAGGCUCGAAAGCGUGGGGAGCAAACAGGAUUAGAUACCCU
rnacentral:rRNA from 1 species